UACGUAGGGGGCAAGCGUUAUCCGGAUUUACUGGGUGUAAAGGGAGCGUAGACGGCACUGCAAGUCCGGAGUGAAAGCCCAAGGCUUAACCAUGGAACUGCUUUGGAAACUGUGCAGCUGGAGUGCAGGAGAGGUAAGCGGAAUUCCUAGUGUAGCGGUGAAAUGCGUAGAUAUCAGGAGGAACACCGGUGGCGAAGGCGGCCUGCUGGACUGCAACUGACGUUGAGGCCCGAAAGCGUGGGGAGCAAACAGG
rnacentral:rRNA from 1 species